UUCAUAGCGGAGGAAAGAAACCAACAGGGAUUGCCCUAGUAACGGCGAGUGAAGCGGCAACAGCUCAAAUUUGAAAUCUGGCUUAGGCCCGAGUUGUAAUUUGCAGAGGAUGCUUUUGAUGCGGCGCUUUCUGAGUUCCCUGGAACGGGACGCCAUAGAGGGUGAGAGCCCCGUAUAGUUAGACGCCAAGUCUCUGUAAAGCUCCUUCGACGAGUCGAGUAGUUUGGGAAUGCUGCUCAAAAUGGGAGGUAAAUUUCUUCUAAAGCUAAAUACCGGCCAAAGACCGAUAGCGCACAAGUAGAGUGAUCGAAAGAUGAAAAGCACUUUGAAAAGAGGGUUAAAAAGCACGUGAAAUUGUUGAAAGGGAAGCGCUUAUGACCAGACUUGUGCCUUGUGGAUAAGCCAGCGUUCUCGCUGGUGUUUCUUCUCGGCUCAGGCCAGCAUCGGUUUCCUUAGGGGGAUAAAAGCUCUGGGAACGUAGCUCUUUCGGGAGUGUUAUAGCCCGCUGCACAAUAUCCCUAGGGGGACCGAGGACCGCGCUUCGGCAAGGAUGCUGGCGUAAUGGUUAUCAGCGACCCGUCUUGAAACACGGACCAAGGAGUCAAGCAUUAGGGCGAGUGUUUGGGUGUAAAACCCGCACGCGUAAUGAAAGUGAACGCUGGUGAGAGCUUCGGCGCAUCAUCGACCGAUCCUGAUGUAUUCGGAUGGAUUUGAGUAAGAGCCUUACCGCUUGGACCCGAAAGUUGAUGAACUAUGCCUGUAUAGGGUGAAGCCAGAGGAAACUCUGGUGGAGGCUCGCAGCGGUUCUGACGUGCAAAUCGAUCGUCAAAUAUGGGCAUGGGGGCGAAAGACUAAUCGA
rnacentral:rRNA from 1 species